GGGGAAGGAUCCCUAGUAACGGCGAGUGAAGCGGGAAGAGCUCAAAUUUGAAAUCUGGUAGCCUUCGGUUGCCCGAGUUGUAAUCUAGAGAAGUGUUUUCCGUGCCGGCCCAUGUACAAGUCCCUUGGAACAGGGCGUCAUAGAGGGUGAGAAUCCCGUCCUUGACAUGGACCCCCGGUGCUUUGUGAUACACUUUCAACGAGUCGAGUUGUUUGGGAAUGCAGCUCAAAAUGGGUGGUGAAUUCCAUCUAAAGCUAAAUAUUGGCGAGAGACCGAUAGCGAACAAGUACCGUGAGGGAAAGAUGAAAAGCACUUUGGAAAGAGAGUUAAACAGUACGUGAAAUUGUUGAAAGGGAAACGAUUGAAGUCAGUCAUGCUCUUGGGACUUACCUCCCUUGAGUGGGGUCAACAUCAGUUUUGAUCGAUGGAUAAAGGCACGGGGAAGGUAGCACUCUCGGGUGAACUUAUAGCCUCGCGUCAUAUACAUUGAUUGGGACUGAGGAACGCAGCAUGCCUUAUGGCCGGGAUUCGUCCACGUACAUGCUUAGGAUGUUGACAUAAUGGCUUUAAACGACCCGUCUUGAAACACG
rnacentral:rRNA from 1 species